UACGUAGGGUGCAAGCGUUUGUCCGGAUUUAUUGGGCGUAAAGAGCUCGUAGGCGGUUAAGUAAGUCAGGUGUGAAACCUCCAGGCUCAACCUGGAGACGCCACUUGAUACUGCUUUGACUUGAGUUCGGUAGGGGUAAGCGGAAUUCCUGGUGUAGCGGUGGAAAUGACGCAGAUAUCAGGAGGAACACCGACGGCGAAGGCAGCUUACUGGGCCGAUACUGACGCUGAGGAGCGAAAGCGUGGGGAGCGAACAGG
rnacentral:rRNA from 1 species